UACGUAGGGUGCAAGCGUUGUCCGGAAUUAUUGGGCGUAAAGAGCGUGUAGGCGGCUUGUUAAGUCUGCUGUGAAAGUCCAGGGCUCAACCCUGGAAAGCCGGUGGAUACUGUCAAGCUAGAGUCCGGAAGGGGCGAGUGGAAUUCCUGGUGUAGCGGUGAAAUGCGCAGAUAUCAGGAGGAACACCAAUGGCGAAGGCAGCUCGCUGGGACGUGACUGACGCUGAGACGCGAAAGCGUGGGGAGCAAACAGG
rnacentral:rRNA from 1 species